UCUCACUCGCGGGUAGCGUGAGUAAUUUAUUGCUUACGUUUUCCGUGUACUUUGUUGUCUGCUGGUUAGCAUCAAUUUUGAUUGUCAUAAAAAGGUUAAGGGGAUGUGGCUCCUUCGGGAGUGUUAUAACCCUUAGCGGAAUGUGGCGAUUGGGAUUGAGGAUUGCAACGAAUACCUUUAGGGCAGUUCCGUCUGGUCUCUUGUUGAUUUUCAGAUAGCAAAAGCUUGCUUUUGUUGUUUGAAUAGUUAGCAAAUAGAUUGGAAAGUGAAUUAAUUCGUUAAGGAUGCUGACGUA
rnacentral:rRNA from 1 species